UGGGGAAUAUUGCACAAUGGGCGCAAGCCUGAUGCAGCCAUGCCGCGUGUGUGAAGAAGGCCUUCGGGUUGUAAAGCACUUUCAGCGGGGAGGAAGGCGUUAAGGUUAAUAACCUUGGCGAUUGACGUUACCCGCAGAAGAAGCACCGGCUAACUCCGUGCCAGCAGCCGCGGUAAUACGGAGGGUGCAAGCGUUAAUCGGAAUUACUGGGCGUAAAGCGCACGCAGGCGGUCUGUCAAGUCGGAUGUGAAAUCCCCGGGCUCAACCUGGGACCUGCAUUCGACACUGGCAGGCUAGAGUCUUUUAGAGGGGGGUAGAAUUCCAGGUGUAGCGGUGAAAUGCGUAGAGAUCUGGAGGAAUACCGGUGGCGAAGGCGGCCCCCUGGACAAAGACUGACGCACAGGUGCGAAAGAGUGGGGCGCAAACAGG
rnacentral:rRNA from 1 species